UUCCUCCAUGGCUCAGUUGGUAGAGCGUCAGGCUGUUAACCUGCAGGUCGUUGGUUCGAGCCCAACUGGAGGAGA
rnacentral:tRNA from 1 species